rnacentral:rRNA from 1 species
AUUGAACGCUGGCGGCAUGCCUUACACAUGCAAGUCGAACGGUAACAGGUCUUCGGAUGCUGACGAGUGGCGAACGGGUGAGUAAUACAUCGGAACGUGCCCGAUCGUGGGGGAUAACGAGGCGAAAGCUUUGCUAAUACCGCAUACGAUCUACGGAUGAAAGCGGGGGAUCUUCGGACCUCGCGCGGACGGAGCGGCCGAUGGCAGAUUAGGUAGUUGGUGGGAUAAAAGCUUACCAAGCCGACGAUCUGUAGCUGGUCUGAGAGGAUGAUCAGCCACACUGGGACGGAGACACGGCCCAGACUCCUACGGGAGGCAGCAGUGGGGAAUUUUGGACAAUGGGCGAAAGCCUGAUCCAGCCAUGCCGCGUGCAGGAUGAAGGCCUUCGGGUUGUAAACUGCUUUUGUACUGAACGAAAAGCCUCUUUCUAAUAAAGAGGGGUCAUGACGGUACCGUAAGAAUAAGCACCGGCUAACUACGUGCCAGCCGCCGCCGUAA